GCCGCAGCUCGCGUGACGCACCGCGGGGCCUCGCCCGGGUGUUCGCUCCGCCGCCUGUCCGCGGAUCGGCGCUGCGAGCCCCGCGGCUGCCUGCGGGACACCUGAGCGCGGAGGGUGCGGCACCUUGGCACCUUGACCCUGUGGCAGGGACAUCUCGGCCCAGGAAAGAAUGAGGUUUAGGCACGGCCUAACCACCUAAGUGAGGGCACUGAAGCUGCCGGGGGAAGGGCAAGGUCCGCGUUGCAGAGCCCAAGCCCAGUGGCGCAGGAUUUGUUUUGGUCUCAGUUUGCUUCAUCUCUGGAAUGGAGAUGGUUUCCUAUGUGAUCAUGAAAAUUUCUCCCAGCUCUGAAGACCUUUUAUUUUGUAAGAAUCAUUGUGAAGGUAUGGGCUUGGCAAAUGAAUGGAAAGAUGAGCAAUGGGAGAGGAAAGAAUUGAAGAGGGCUGUGAGGUUUGAAGAAUGGGAUCCCCCAUGAAGUGGCGCUGAAAGAUCACGAUAGCACAGUUCCAUGAUGUGAAAUACCACAAGUCUGCAAUUUUUCGGUCUUGAGAGUGUCGCUGGGCUGAGAGGAUGGAAAUCUUUCAGUAAUUAUACCAGUUUGUAUUCGUCUCACAUUUGGGACCAAAUACAAAUCCGAUCCACUCUUUCUCCCUGUGAAUAUUCAUAAAAAACAAAGUGCCAAUUCUGGUCUAAUCAUGUAUGGAACCAAAUAUGUUGAUGAGUCCUAAGUAUAUACUGUAUGUAUGUAUACAUAUGAAUAUAUAUAUUUGUACACACUAAUUUUGCUUGUGUCCUCCUCUGUGCAAUUUGUUUGUUUAGUAUAGGGGUUGCUGUUAUAAUGUGUUAAUAAGCUGCUGAAAGCUUGGCACCUAUUACUUGAAAUGACAGCUAUGUUAGAAGCCUAUUAACACUCCAUAGCAGCAGCUCUGCAGCUACUAGAAAUGAAUUUCAAAGAAGGUAAAUGAACAAAAGCGAUUCAUAUCUCUAAGGAAAGCAAAUACCAUGCCUAGAACCAUAUAUACUUUGGAAAUGUACAGUGUAUAAAAUGAAAAACCUCUUCCAGUUAAAGAAACAGCGGAAGGGAAUAUUUGGGGAAAGGAAGACUGCCUAAAAGAUUUCCAAACAACCUUGAAGAUGUAAAUGUAAAGGAUACCAAACAUAACUUCCUCUCUUUGUUUCUAUUGUAUUUAAACCAGAUCCAUGUCAAACUUAUAAGAACAGAAUAUAGUACAGGUAGAGGAAAUUCACUUUUCAUGAGCAAAAGUUAAAUCAUCUGGAUUUAGCUCAAACUUCUUUUUCUUCAUUUCUGAGCUUAGAAGGACACCCUUUGCUAUUGUUCUCGGAAGCAGGGCUCUUUAUGAGUCAGCUUGCUCUGCUUUUGAACUACUUUACUUACUUUUGACUGUCAUUGGAAUUUGCAAGAUGGUUGAAAGUCCUGGGUAAACCUUAACCAUGAUAAUAAAAAUGUGGUAAGUUA
rnacentral:lncRNA from 1 species